UUAUUGGAGAGUUUGAUCCUGGCUCAGGACGAACGCUGGCGGCGUGCCUAAUACAUGCAAGUCGAGCGAGUCUCUUCGGAGGCUAGCGGCGGACGGGUGAGUAACACGUAGGCAACCUGCCUCUCAGACUGGGAUAACGAAGGGAAACUUAUGCUAAUACCGGAUAGGUUUUUGGAUCGCAUGAUCCGAAAAGAAAAGAUGGC
rnacentral:rRNA from 1 species